rnacentral:rRNA from 1 species
AGCACUGUUUCGGCAAGGGGGUCAUCCCGACUUACCAACCCGAUGCAAACUGCGAAUACCGGAGAAUGUUAUCACGGGAGACACACGGCGGGUGCUAACGUCCGUCGUGAAGAGGGAAACAACCCAGACCGCCAGCUAAGGUCCCAAAGUCAUGGUUAAGUGGGAAACGAUGUGGGAAGGCCCAGACAGCCAGGAUGUUGGCUUAGAAGCAGCCAUCAUUUAAAGAAAGCGUAAUAGCUCACUGGUCGAGUCGGCCUGCGCGGAAGAUGUAACGGGGCUAAACCAUGCACCGAAGCUGCGGCAGCGACACUAUGUGUUGUUGGGUAGGGGAGCGUUCUGUAAGCCUGUGAAGGUGGCCUGUGAGGGUUGCUGGAGGUAUCAGAAGUGCGAAUGCUGACAUAAGUAACGAUAAAGCGGGUGAAAAGCCCGCUCGCCGGAAGACCAAGGGUUCCUGUCCAACGUUAAUCGGGGCAGGGUGAGUCGACCCCUAAGGCGAGGCCGAAAGGCGUAGUCGAUGGGAAACAGGUUAAUAUUCCUGUACUUGGUGUUACUGCGAAGGGGGGACGGAGAAGGCUAUGUUGGCCGGGCGACGGUUGUCCCGGUUUAAGCGUGUAGGCUGGUUUUCCAGGCAAAUCCGGAAAACCAAGGCUGAGGCGUGAUGA